GUGUGUGACUUGGUGGCAGAAUGCAAGACUUCCCCAUGAUCUUAAUAAAUAGGAGAAGUAUGAAAUGGAUGAGGUUAUUUCCCAUAUUUCCUAUAAUAAUUUAGCCGUUAUGCAGGGAUCCUUCAAGCUAGAAGAGAUUCUGAAGAAGCUCAAGGUGUCUUGUGUUGAAGCUCACUCCAAUGCUUUUGGAUUUUAGAUUACUUUCGAAAAGGCCCAAAGGUUACUAGAUAGGACUAAAGAAGCUUUUACCAAAGGGAGACAACUAUCUUCAAAGAUUGAGAAGCUAACCUCUCAAUUUGUAGAAUGAAAGAACAAUUUAAAGAGGUUGAGUCUGCCAAGAUGACCAUUGAGGAGAAAUUCCAAGUGGAAGCCAUGAAGCUUCAAGCUUUGUGUUCUGCCAUGAUCUCCCACUAUCAUCAAGCGGUAAUUGAAGUUGUUCAGUCUUAAAAUCCAGAUGCCAAUCUCACAAUUGUGGAUGAAAUAAAUCUUAAAGAUUUAUAAACUCUUGUUCUAGCAAACCAUAAUGCCCAUCAUUCUGAACUAGUGGAAGAGGCAAUCGAAUCUGAGGAAGAGCAUACCUCUAACACUGUUAACCUAGAGGACGUGAUUGUCCUCCCUGAUGAUGGCAAAGAUCUGCCAUAACUUUCUUGUAAUUUUUGAACAAUCUUACUUUUCAUAUAAUAGUUUUUAUUUUGGUUUUGGG
rnacentral:lncRNA from 1 species